rnacentral:rRNA from 1 species
AUACGAAGGGGGCAAGCGUUGCUCGGAAUGACUGGGCGUAAAGGGCGCGUAGGCGGUUGACACAGUCAGAUGUGAAAUUCCCGGGCUUAACCUGGGGGCUGCAUUUGAUACGUGUAGACUAGAGUGUGAGAGAGGGUUGUGGAAUUCCCAGUGUAGAGGUGAAAUUCGUAGAUAUUGGGAAGAACACCGGUGGCGAAGGCGGCAACCUGGCUCAUUACUGACGCUGAGGCGCGAAAGCGUGGGGAGC